rnacentral:lncRNA from 1 species
GAGAAGUCCAGACAUUGACGAAGUCUGGAAGAGGCUCGGAGUAAAGUUGAACUUGACAGGAGAAAGUCUGGAAGAGAUUUGGAGAGUAGUCGAUCACUGUAGAAAAUCGGUUGAUAGUGAAGCCCAGAGAGCAUUUGGAGCAGUCUGAUAGAUGACUGAAGGAGCUUAUUAUUGGAGAAAUUCAGUGGGUACGAUAGGAGUUCGUCUGUUGGAGGAAUUUGGAGG